GACGAACGCUGGCGGCGUGCUUAACACAUGCAAGUCGAACGGAAAGGCCCUGCUUUUGUGGGGUGCUCGAGUGGCGAACGGGUGAGUAACACGUGAGUAACCUGCCCUUGACUUUGGGAUAACUUCAGGAAACUGGGGCUAAUACCGGAUAGGAGCUCCUGCUGCAUGGUGGGGGUUGGAAAGUUUCGGCGGUUGGGGAUGGACUCGCGGCUUAUCAGCUUGUUGGUGGGGUAGUGGCUUACCAAGGCUUUGACGGGUAGCCGGCCUGCGAGGGUGACCGGCCACAUUGGAACGGAGAUAAGGCCCAGACUCCUACGGGAGGCAGCAGUGGGGAAGAUUGCACAAUGGGCGGAAGCCUGAUGCAGCAACGCCGCGUGCGGGAUGACGGCCUUCGGGUUGUAAACCGCUUUCGCCUGUGACGAAGCGUGAGUGACGGUAAUGGGUAAAGAAGCACCGGCUAACUACGUG
rnacentral:rRNA from 1 species